rnacentral:tRNA from 1 species
GGUUGUGGCUCAGUGGUAGAGCACUUGCCUAGUUUGUGUGAGGCACUGGGUUCAAUUCUCAGCACCA